UACGUAGGUGGCAAGCGUUGUCCGGAAUUAUUGGGCGUAAAGGGUGCGUAGGCGGGUCUUUAAGUCAGGGGUGAAAUCCUGGAGCUCAACUCCAGAACUGCCUUUGAUACUGAAGAUCUUGAGUUCGGGAGAGGUGAGUGGAACUGCGAGUGUAGAGGUGAAAUUCGUAGAUAUUCGCAAGAACACCAGUGGCGAAGGCGGCUCACUGGCCCGAUACUGACGCUGAGGCACGAAAGCGUGGGGAGCAAACAGG
rnacentral:rRNA from 1 species